UAAUGUCAAACAAUAGGGACCUUUGGAUUCCAGGACAAGGACGAGAACGAGUGCGAGAUUUGACUGCACGUUUUCAGCGAAAAUACUUAGAAAAUUUAUAACCCGACAGUUUAUCUUACUCUUUGUUAGCAGUAUAGGUCGCUCAGAGAAAAUCUCUUACUCGCAGUCGUUCUCGACCUAUAAUCUAAA